rnacentral:ncRNA from 1 species
AUAAAGACUGUGAUCGGGACAGUAGGAAGUCCAUACCGCUUUCAAAGCGAGCCAGGGAAGGUGAGAGCCUGGUACGGUAUUUCUUUCGAACAUCACCCGCUAGUUUCCAUUCGAACCGCAAGCAGUAGAAAUGGACGUCUCAUUCACGUUACGAAUUCGAGUGGAUAGAUGAUACUAGUCUGUCUAUAAGGGUGGUACCGCGAGUCUCUCUCGUCCCUUCU